UACGUAGGGUGCAAGCGUUGUCCGGAUUUAUUGGGCGUAAAGAGCUCGUAGGCGGUCUGUCGCGUCGGAUGUGAAAACCCAGGGCUCAACCCUGGGCCUGCAUUCGAUACGGGCAGACUAGAGUUCGGUAGGGGAGUCUGGAAUUCCUGGUGUAGCGGUGAAAUGCGCAGAUAUCAGGAGGAACACCGGUGGCGAAGGCGGGACUCUGGGCCGAUACUGACGCUGAGGAGCGAAAGCGUGGGGAGCAAACAGG
rnacentral:rRNA from 1 species